rnacentral:rRNA from 1 species
AAGUCGAACGAAGCACUUAUCUUUGAUUCUUCGGAUGAAGAGGUCUGUGACUGAGUGGCGGACGGGUGAGUAACGCGUGGGUAACCUGCCUCAUACAGGGGGAUAACAGUUAGAAAUGACUGCUAAUACCGCAUAAGACCACAGAGCCGCAUGGCUCGGUGGGAAAAACUCCGGUGGUAUGAGAUGGACCCGCGUCUGAUUAGGUAGUUGGUGGGGUAACGGCCUACCAAGCCAACGAUCAGUAGCCGACCUGAGAGGGUGACCGGCCACAUUGGGACUGAGACACGGCCCAAACUCCUACGGGAGGCAGCAGUGGGGAAUAUUGCACAAUGGGGGAAACCCUGAUGCAGCGAC